UACGGAGGGGGCUAGCGUUGUUCGGAAUACUGGGCGUAAAGCGCACGUAGGCGGACUGAUAAGUCGGGGGGUGAAAUCCCGGGGCUCAACCUCGGAAUUGCCUUCGAUACUGUCUGUCUUGAGUCCGGGGAGAGGUGAGUGGAAUUCCUAGUGUAGAGGUGAAAUUCGUAGAUAUUAGGAAGAACACCAGUGGCGAAGGCGGCUCACUGGCCCGGUACUGACGCUCAUGUGCGAAAGCGUGGGGAGCAAACAGG
rnacentral:rRNA from 1 species